CUCUCCCUCUUUCUUCAGGCCUAACACAUGCAAGUCGAACGAACUCUUCGGAGUUAGUGGCGGACGGGUGAGUAACACGUGGGAACGUGCCUUUUGGUUCGGAAUAACUCAGGGAAACUUGUGCUAAUACCGAAUGUGCCCUUCGGGGGAAAGAUUUAUCGCCAUUAGAGCGGCCCGCGUCUGAUUAGCUAGUUGGUGAGGUAACGGCUCACCAAGGCGACGAUCAGUAGCUGGUCUGAGAGAAUGACCAGCCACACUGGGACUGAGACACGGCCCAGACUCCUACGGGAGGCAGCAGUGGGGAAUCUUGCGCAAUGGGCGAAAGCCUGACGCAGCCAUGCCGCGUGAAUGAUGAAGGUCUUAGGAUUGUAAAAUUCUUUCACCGGGGACGAUAAUGACGGUACCCGGAGAAGAAGCCCCGGCUAACUUCGUG
rnacentral:rRNA from 1 species